rnacentral:lncRNA from 1 species
UGCCGUGCCUUUGGAGAAGCUACAAAUUGCAGCUUCGCAUUUGACGCGUGCUACAGUUACCCACCACAAAAACAAAGAGGCUCUAAUUGUAUCUUGAAAUUGAUGGUACACCAUGGAAAAACAGAUGUCUCUCCGGAUUUACACCAACAAAAUAUACUCAUUAAACUCUAUUCGUUUGUAUAAACACCUUAAUUAAGAGCUUAUAGCAUAAGCUCUUAUCAUAUAAGUGCUUAUAUGUAUAAGAAAUUUUUAUAAUGAAAGAUAAAAUCGAAAUCAAUUGUCUUCAUAUUAUAUAUAUAUGUCAUAACAUGUUUUCAUAAGCUCUCCCAGAAAGUCUAACAAGUGCUAAUGUUGAUAAACAUGCUCAAAUAACUAAAUCCAAGCAACCUUAUGACAAAUCCACCUAAUUACAAUAACUAUUCAAAAAGAGACCGAUAUUGAGGACAAAACUGAGAGUUCAAUCUUCCUAUACUAAUGAAAUGAAAAAAAAGUAUAAUUUCAGUGUACAGAAAAUUUACCUGACAAAAAGUGAAAUCAUUAUCACUGUCCAUUUCAAAGCACACUGAUGAUUGCAGGCAGGUAGGAUAGGCGAUUAUGGAGGCAGAAUCGCAGGAUCUCUGGCGAUCUAUGAAGCACGCGAUGGAUUGAAAAUAUUGGCUAGGGUUCCUUUUCUGUCGCUGAACUUAUUCACAAAAAGUGAUUUUCUCAAUCUUUGCUGCGUGCGAAAUUACGGUCUAUGCNAAAAUCUAUUAUUUUGCUACAUCACCCAUUUUUGUAGGCCUGUGUUUGGAUAUAAUUCAACCCCACUUCCCUAUGCAGGUUGCCGUGCCUUUGGAGAAGCUACAAAUUGCAGCUUCGCAUUUGACGCGUGCUACAGUUACCCACCACAAAAACAAAGAGGCUCUAAUUGUAUCUUGAAAUUGAUGGUACACCAUGGAAAAACAGAUGUCUCUCCGGAUUUACACCAACAAAAUAUACUCAUUAAACUCUAUUCGUUUGUAUAAACACCUUAAUUAAGAGCUUAUAGCAUAAGCUCUUAUCAUAUAAGUGCUUAUAUGUAUAAGAAAUUUUUAUAAUGAAAGAUAAAAUCGAAAUCAAUUGUCUUCAUAUUAUAUAUAUAUGUCAUAACAUGUUUUCAUAAGCUCUCCCAGAAAGUCUAACAAGUGCUAAUGUUGAUAAACAUGCUCAAAUAACUAAAUCCAAGCAACCUUAUGACAAAUCCACCUAAUUACAAUAACUAUUCAAAAAGAGACCGAUAUUGAGGACAAAACUGAGAGUUCAAUCUUCCUAUACUAAUGAAAUGAAAAAAAAGUAUAAUUUCAGUGUAUAGAAAAUUUACCUGACAAAAAGUGAAAUCAUUAUCACUGUCCAUUUCAAAGCACACUGAUGAUUGCAGGUAGGUAGGAUAGGCGAUUAUGGAGGCAGAAUCGCAGGAUCUCUGGCGAUCUAUGAAGCACGCGAUGGAUUGAAAAUAUUGGCUAGGGUUCCUUUUCUGUCGCUGAACUUAUUCACAAAAAGUGAUUUUCUCAAUCUUUGCUGCGUGCGAAAUUACGGUC